rnacentral:rRNA from 1 species
UACGUAGGGUGCGAGCGUUAUCCGGAAUUACUGGGCGUAAAGAGCUCGUAGGUGGUUUGUCGCGUCGUCUGUGAAAUUCCGGGGCUUAACUCCGGGAAUGCAGGUGAUACCGGCAUGACUUGAGUACUGCAGGGGAGACUGGAAUUCCUGGUGUAGCGGUGAAAUGCGUAGAGAUGAGGAGGAACACCGAUGGCGAAGGCAGGUCUCUGGGAAGUAACUGACGCUGAGGAGCGAAAGCGUGGGGAGCGAACAGG